rnacentral:rRNA from 1 species
GAUGAACGCUAGCUACAGGCUUAACACAUGCAAGUCGAGGGGCAGCGGGAUUGAAGCUUGCUUCAAUUGCCGGCGACCGGCGCACGGGUGAGUAGCGCGUAUCCAACCUUCCGUACACUCAGGGAUAGCCUUUCGAAAGAAAGAUUAAUACCUGAUGGUAUCUUAAGCACACAUGUAAUUAAGAUUAAAGAUUUAUCGGUGUACGAUGGGGAUGCGUUCCAUUAGGUAGUAGGCGGGGUAACGGCCCACCUAGCCAACGAUGGAUAGGGGUUCUGAGAGGAAGGUCCCCCACAUUGGAACUGAGACACGGUCCAAACUCCUACGGGAGGCAGCAGUGAGGAAUAUUGGUCAAUGGACGAGAGUCUGAACCAGCCAAGUAGCGUGAAGGAUGACUGCCUAUGGGUUGUAAACUUCUUUAUACGGGAAUAAAGUGAGGCACGUGUGCCUUUUUGUAUGUACCGUAUGAAUAAGGAUCGGCUAACUCCGUGCCAGCAGCCGCGGU